rnacentral:tRNA from 5 species
CGGGGCGUAGCGCAGUUUGGUAGCGCGCUUCCUUGGGGUGGAAGAGGUCGUGAGUUCGAAUCUCGCCGCUCCGACCA